GACGAACGCUGGCGGCGUGCCUAAUACAUGCAAGUAGAACGCUGAAGAGAGGAGCUUGCUCUUCUUGGAUGAGUUGCGAACGGGUGAGUAACGCGUAGGUAACCUGCCUGGUAGCGGGGGAUAACUAUUGGAAACGAUAGCUAAUACCGCAUGAAAUUGCUUAUCGCAUGAUAAUUGAUUGAAAGAUGCAAUUGCAUCACUACCAGAUGGACCUGCGUUGUAUUAGCUAGUUGGUGAGGUAACGGCUCACCAAGGCGACGAUACAUAGCCGACCUGAGAGGGGGAUCGGCCACACUGGGACUGAGACACGGCCCAGACUCCUACAGGAGGCAGCAGUAGGGAAUCUUCGGCAAUGGGGGGAACCCUGACCGGGCAACGCCGCGUGAGUGAAGAAGGUUUUCGGAUCGUAAAGAGCUGUUGUAAGGGAAGAACGGGUGUGAGAGUGGAAAGUUCACACUGUGACGGUAUCUUACCAGAAAGGGACGGCUAACUACGUG
rnacentral:rRNA from 1 species